rnacentral:rRNA from 1 species
AUUGAACGCUGGCGGCAGGCUUAACACAUGCAAGUCGAGCGAGCGGCGGACGGGUGAGUCAUGUCUGGGAAACUGCCUGAUGGAGGGGGAUAACUACUGGAAACGGUAGCUAAUACCGCAUACCAUCAGAUGUGCCCAGAUGGGAUUAGCUAGUAGGUGGGGUAAUGGAGCACCUAGGCGACGAUCCCUAGCUGGUGGGAGAGGAGGACCAGCAAAACUGGAACUGAGACACGGCCCAGACUCAGACGGGAGGCAGCAGUGGGGAAGAUUGCACAAGGGGCGCAAGCCUGAGGAAGCCAUGCCGCGUGUGUGAAGAAGUCCUUCGGGUUGUAAAGCACUUUCAGCGAGGAGGCGUUACUCGCAGAAGAAGCACCGGCUAACUCCGUGCCAGCAGCCGCGGUAAUUC